UCUUUCUUUCUGCUUCUAUUCUCUAUUCUCAGCAUUGCCGCCGUCAACAACCUUCUCCGGCAACCCUCACCGGGAUCUCAUCGGAAAAUUCCCACCGGAAAAAAAAACAAAAAAAACACUUCCCACCACCAUUGCUAUUGCUGUUUCAAGCAGAAUUUGCUAACAAUCACUACGUUUCGUGUUUCCUUUCUCUCUAAUUGAGUUCAACACAAUGCCAUUGAAAACUCUUGAGAGUUAGUCUCAAUCUCCAAUUCUCCAUGCUUAUGCAGUUGCAUUGCUCCUUCACUGCAACUAAUGAAAGCUACAUUGCCAACAUACUUUAGUGUUUCACGAGCACUGAAAACUUCAUCUAGUGUUUUUAUGGUUCCAAGGUGUUACCAGCAUACGUGAAUUUUAUGAUAUGAUAGGAGGUCAAAGAUUUUUUUUUAAUUAGCAUUUAUUUUUUCUAUGUUGUAAGAUCCAAACUUUCCUCAGUAUUGGUUUUGGUGUUUAUUCUGGGAAUUUAUUAUGCAUCACUAAGUCCAAGG
rnacentral:lncRNA from 1 species